rnacentral:snRNA from 1 species
UGAAGAAAUUCAACCAAGCGCGG